GCUCACUUCAGCUGUACAUAUACUAAAAUUAAAAUGAUACAGAUAAGAUUAGCCUGGCCCCAGCACAAGGACAACAUGCAAAUUCCUGAAGCAUUCUAUAUUUUU